rnacentral:misc_RNA from 1 species
CAUUUGUCGCUCCGUUUAACCCAUAACCUCUACAGCAUCCGAAAAACAAGCAUAGACUAUGGGGCUAAUUUUUACGUGACACUGUCACUUAACAGGCAUUCUUUUUCCUAUCUGCCUGUAAAACCGUGGAAUUAUUGUCGGGAUUGCUCAGAUGUACCGAAGUGCGCGGUAUCGCCUCGCCCGUGUUCGCCAGAGCCCUGAACACGCUGUAGCUGGAUAACCUCCCCCUGCUCCCAGGCGUUAGCCCCCUUAACAACGGGAUGCUCAGGCAGAUCCUGCCGCUCGCGUUUAAUGGUCUGGGUAUCAAUUCCCAGACGGCGAUCCCGAUCGGCCAGCAGCGCGGGGUCAAGCUGCCCGUCGCCAGUAAAGCCCAUCAUCAGCGCAGGGAUACCCAUUGGCAGGGUUUUAUCCCGGUCGGUAUGCCAGGUG